CCUACGGGGGGCUGCAGUGAGGAAUAUUGGUCAAUGGGCUUACGCCUGAACCAGCCAAGCCGCGUGAGGGAAGACGGCCCUAUGGAUUGUAAACCUCUUUUGUCGGGGAGCAAAAGACGCCACGCGUGGCGUUCCGCGAGUACCCGAAGAAAAAGCAUCGGCUAACUCCGUGCCAGCAGCCGCGGUAAUACGGAGGAUGCGAGCGUUAUCCGGAUUUAUUGGGUUUAAAGGGUGCGCAGGCGGAAGAUCAAGUCAGCGGUAAAAUUGAGAGGCUCAACCUCUUCGAGCCGUUGAAACUGGUUUUCUUGAGUGAGUGAGAAGUAUGCGGAAUGCGUGGUGUAGCGGUGAAAUGCAUAGAUAUCACGCAGAACUCCGAUUGCGAAGGCAGCAUACCGGCGCUCAACUGACGCUCAUGCACGAAAGUGUGGGUAUCGAACAGGAUUAGAUACCCGAGUAGUC
rnacentral:rRNA from 1 species